UAUCCCUUUAGGAAUAAUGUAUUGACAUAUGAAAAUAUAUGGUUUGGCAUGUUUCAGGUUGGAAGAUCUUUUGCAUGUUUCUUAAAAGAUUUGUUCAGGAGCUAGUUGCAUUGUGAUUCAUAUCCUGUUAGAAAUUUCAACUCUUUUUUGCUUCUGAAAUCUUUCUUGGUCAGCAAGAUCUUUAAUUUUGCAGGUCGAAAAGUCAGAAGAGUAUAACGUUUCAC
rnacentral:lncRNA from 1 species